CCACGCUCACCUCCACCUCCAGCAGCGCAUCGCCGUGUUCCUCGGCUGUCACGGCCGUCAGGCCCUUGGUGAACAGCACCUGUUGCUCUACACAUGAAGGGGAGUUAACGUUUGUUACGUCCUUACAUGUUUUGCUAGAGUCUGACGGCUGAAGGCCAGAAAGCACAAGCUUCCUUGUGACGUCACAGCUGUGGAUUCGAAUACGAGUGUCUGCUUCCAGUACUUGGCCAUUGCGUAACCACUGGACGGCGGCAUUUGGUCGAGACACUUCACACUCCAGGAUGAGGUCGUCUCCUGCCACCAGGAUGUGAUGCUCUGGGUGGCCGGAGUUUCCAACGAUCUGCACUGGUGGCUCUGAUGUAGAUCACGGUUCUAGUUACUGGUUUCCUCAUUAAAAGUGGACAAACAAGCAAAUCCUCCAGCCCAGCGUUUAGGACCACCAGCGAUCGGAAGACGCCCUGCUCCUCGCUGCAGUAUCGCUCACUGUUGGCGAUAAGCUGACUGUCUUUGAACCAGCUUACUGAGGCGUUGGAUCGUGAAAGUUCGCACACAAGGAUGAUGUCAUCUGACACAAAGAACUGCUUUUCUGUUUUUGCUUCAGUUUUUCCAAGAAUCUUCACAGGCAGCUCUGAGACAAUAGGACAAAAGGAUAGGAGGUGUUACAGAUGGAAAACGAGUGUCUUCCUAAGCAGGAGCCCAGAACACUCGCCGAAGCUCGUCGGCACCUUAAAACGGAUUUUAGAUGCUUACCCUGCACCAUCACAUGGAAGUCCAUCACAUCGUCCUUGGCAUCACACACGUACUGGCCAGCAUCCUCCACCAUCACAGAGUGAAUGGUGACCUCAGCGUUGGCUCUGGAAACCUCACAGUCUAGAACCAGAGACUCACCAACCACCUUCUCUAGUCUGCUUGCACUCUUCCUUGGCCGUACAAAGCGAACUGGAGGCUCUGCAGAACAGGAGCAUCUCUCGCUGAUGACGCCAGAGGGACGAGACAAUUCACAACUCAGAAUAAUCUCCUCAGGCACGUGACGGUCAAGGUGGACGUCCUCCUUUGGAUAGAUGAUCAUCACCGGAGGUUCUGUGGAAGAAGGACAUUCUUCACACAUUUAAAGGCUUAAGUAAAUGGUGUAGGUGCCGGCAUCAGAUAGCCGGGCAAAAUGUACAGUGAGGCUCCGUCUGGUGCCCUCUGCUUCUAUUGUCACGUUCUUGCCUGCUUGGAUUUCAGAUCCGUCUUUGUACCACUGGACAGAACCGUCGGCCCGUGACACCUCGCAUGACAGAACAAGCUGCUCGUUUUCCGCCACACUCUUGUACAGGUUGUCCUCUGGGACAUCAGCAAAGCUGACGGGAGGUGCUGCACAAAAACAGCACAAAGGGAGAGUGAUGCUGGAGCGCAGCACUCGCUGCUUCUGUUCACGCAUGCAGUAGCAUCUAACAGAAACAGCAGAGCAGGUGUUAACGUAUUAAAGUGAAGCAGUUCACUUAGCUUAGCUACAUCAGAUGUGUUGAAAAAUAAACAGCAAUACAUGCCAUUCAUUUCAGAACUAGACUAAUGAUGAAGCUGGGAUGAAUAUGAGGCUGAUGAUCGGGUUUUGCUUUCUUUGUUGAUAUUAGAGCAAAUGAAAGUGAAUAAGUCUCUAGAGCAAUAUCUUGCCAAGAAAUAGCUCAUCGUAUCACCUUUCACUUCCACACAGACAUCCUGGAAAUCUGAGUCGUCAUUAGUUUUACCACCGUUCGACUCAGAGCAAAACGACGUGGCCGUUUUCGUAAGCAGUGUCCCCUUGAUAGCCUUUGACUCCACGUUCAUCCCUGAAUACGGCCAGAGCUCUAUUUCGUCCUCACAGCAUGUGGCCUGGCGUGCUGUGUCUGAGGUGUCACCCUGCAGUGAGACCAGGCUGCCUGCUUCAACAGACUUGUUCCCCUCAGCUUCUGGAACAGCUGACAAUCAGACCAGCACUAGAGCAACUUCAAGCCAUUCAACAGUGAAUAAGCAGCAGUAUAACCCAGAGUGGGCAAACUCAGCUGAAUGGACAAUCAGCGUUCUCACCAAGCCAUCGCUUAGAAUAUCUGCUCCAGUCUGAGGAUGGAGCUUUGACCCAUCUUUGUACCAGUGCACCUGGGCAGAGGGAUCUGAGAGCUCACACUGUAAAACAAUGGAGCUGCCUUUAUGGAUGGUUACGUUCCUCUCAGCCUCUGGAAUAGUGGAAAACCUCACAGACUGGAAUGUGAGCAACGCAGACGUUCACAGAGCAGCGGGCGUGUUCAGGCAGCAGCCCCUGGCUCCACAGGUAGAGAACCUACAUGGACCAGAGAACCAGCACUUCCCAUGACAAAUAUAUGUGAAGAAUAAAGAACGUUGUCUCUUGUGCCGAAUGCAAAGAAAGCAGCUCUACAGUCUAAUAGUUGAAUAAUGAUAAUAUAAUUUGGGUCCUUUAAGCCAGUGCCACCCAAAAAGAGAUAGAACUGUGUUAACUAAUGUAAUGUAAUAAAUAAAAUGAAAAUAAAGAAACAAAAAAACGGAGCCCAGCAAUAUCUUCAGUUAACGGAAAUGAAGAGUCAAAAUUGAGUAGCAGAACCGCACUCAGAUUGAAUAGAAAACCAAGCUC